GCUAAGGGCGAGGGUGGAGGUCAGGGUCAGGGUCAAGGUCGGGGUCGGGGUCUGGGUCAGGACUGGACUCGUGGGCUCCCCUCCUCGGGCUGAGGAUGACGAGGAGGGCCCGGUGCAGGGCCCCUGGCCUACUCCCAUCGGAGCCCUCAAGUGCGGCUUCCGUUUCCGCGCAGGCGGCGGUUGCCUCCCGGGCUGUGCCGGGGACUCGGUGCCGGCGAAGGAGGGUUGAGCGGGGCCGCAGGCGGCAGGCGUCCACCUGGGGAGCCCACUCUCCACUGUGGUCCGCCUGCCGCAGCCGGCGCCCCUGAGAAGCGCAGGUGCGGGCUGGUUUCCAGGCCGGCGUGAGGAACCGGGGCCGACCCAUCACGGGGCUUCCUACGCGAGACCCUGUGCCGUGCGCCCCACGGGGAAGUCCAGAUUGGAGCCCUGGUUCCGGCCCCCCACCCUGCUGCAGGCCCGAGGACGUCUCCCCAGGGGUCCCCACCUCGGCCUGCUCACGGGACUGUGCUGAGCCCAGCUGCUCUGUGAGAUGAAGAUAAGAAGUCACAGACGUGAAGGGCCUGCCUGGGGCAGCCUGGCUUCCCUGAGAGGACUGCACCUGGCUCCCUCCUCCCUCUCACCAGCAGCCUGCAGGACUUUGAGUUCUCUCCUGAUGGCGGCAGAGUCCUCAGAUCACUGGUACAGACAAGACUGGCACAGGGACCUGCUCAGCUCAGCCUGUGCCCUCCGAAGGAGGGAGGUCGGGGGCCUCAGCGGCCACCCUGUCCACCUCUUGAAAUAGUGAAUGUCCUUCAUCUUCAGACAACAGGUUCUGGUCUUAUUACAAGGUAUGGAAGUGUUCAGAACAGUGCAGCUUCCCACGCCCCCACCUCUGCCAGGAGCGACCCCAUCUCCCUCAAACAGAAUUCUGGGAACCUGGAGCCAGGGAGUCUUCCUGUGCCUCCUCUGACAGCUCUGCAUGAGUUUGCCACGCACUUGGGUGCUGGCCUACGCUAUCAAACAGGCGGGACGACAGCCCCAGCCCC